UGUCAGAGCUGCAGAGGAUCUGGGAUGGGGACCUGUGUAGCUCUAUGCUGCUUUGCACUGCACAAGUGAGGAGCAGAGCUGGCACCUCUCUCGGGCAGUGGGAAAUGUGCUGCAAAGUGAGGAUGGGGCACUGGGAGGCCAGACCCUGCCAUGGCAGAAGGAGACUUUGCAGAGCUCAGGCUGAUAAGAACUCUGCAACCAGGUUUCCAAGGGCCUGUGUGAAUUGCUGAGUGGUGAGGCUCAGAACUCCAGACACCAGACAAUGGAAAGGCUGGAAAGAUAAAGGAGAGGAAAUUCUUCUGCUGUAUUGCCUUUCCUAUGGCGAUAAGAUAACACACAGUGAAACAAGUGGUGGGCACCCCAGCUGCUCCCUGGAGUGGCAGCAAGAUGUCUGCUGGGGCCCCUGCAGUGCCUGGCGGGUGGUCCUGGGGCAGUGUGAGUGGGGUGAGUUUUGAGAAGAAGAUGUGAUGGGUUUGGUGGUGUUGGAGCACCAUUACUGUGCCUCAGAGCACAGAGACAGGCAGGUCUGACAUUGAUCUGGCUAGAGGCAUACUCAGAGGCAGCCCAGAUUAGCUGUGGAAAUCGCUGUAGGAUAUUUUGGGCGGCAGAGCUCAGAUGAAUGAUAUGGGGACAGCAAGAAGCUGGGGCUGCCUCCGCUGUCUCGGGAAGUCGCAGGGCUGUGCUGCAGGGAGCAGAAGGGUGGGUGAAAGGAGGUCACUGUGCUGCCGUCUCUGCUAUGUCCACGCAGCUCUGCUCUGGCCAUGACCUGGCCCAGGUUUGCCAGGACGAGGUGGACCCUGAUCUGCUCCAGUGACUUUUUUGUGUCUCACUAUUAUAAAUCAAAUUUUGGAUAGUGGCUGUGCCUGGUGAGGCAGGGCCAGGUCCUCUCGUGGAUGUUUCUGAGGAAGCUGUCAGCACUCUGACAACAAGUACUUGUUUUAGGUUGGAUAUUAGGAAAAAUUUCUUCUUGGAAAGACUGGUGGUGCACUGGCACAGGCUGCCCAGAGAGGUGGUGGGGUCACCAUCCAUGGAAGUGUCCAAGUACCAUGGACAUGUGGCACUGAGGGACAAGGGUUGAUGGUUGGACUUCAUCCUCGAGCUCUUUUCCAACCUUAAUGAUUCUGUACUUUGUGCACAGCUCCCUCAUCCUCACUUGAACUGGGGGCUGUGCAGGAACAUGCCCACGCAGUGGAGCAGCUUGCAGUGAAGGUAGGGGCACCGUAGUGAGCACCAUAGCCAGUGUGGUGGUGGGUGGUGAGUGCAGCACAGCGGGAGUAUGGGCACUGCCACAAUGAAGAAGGGCCAAAAGAAGGAAUUGAUUCAGAGACCAGAGGGAGCAGACCCAAGGCUGAGAAUGGCACUUAUCUCUUAGUGGGUGCUUCAUGCCUACAGGGACCUCAGUCCCUGGUGGAGAAGUCAUGCCUUUGAUGUGCUGUGAGGCUUCCUCAUGCUUCUCUGCAGCAUUGUGGGACAGGAUCUGAGCAGCCAUUGUGUGAGGCAAAACAAACCCUUCCUAUCGUGUCAAAGACUCAUGGGGUGGCCCUGCUUUCAGCUGCUGGCUGAAGCAUGAACGCAGCCCUGCCAGAGUCCACUGAUAAGAAUCUCCUUGCAAAAAGGUUCAAGUCCCCGCUCUGGCCGGUGAUGUCACCUUAUCAGCACUCAGAGCUGAUGGUAAAGGGAUCAAUCCAAGCCCAGCCGCCUCCCCACCACUGCGCCGGCUGCAAACACAAUGCGUGGGGCCCUGCGUGCUCCUUCCUAGCAGGAGGGUCGCACAGCCCAGGCCCCGCGCAGUGCUGGGAUGGGAACAAUAGUGGCCGUGGCAGUGCUGGCGGGUGGGCGACUCCUGAGAAUCAUGUGCUUACCCCAGCUGCAGCAGAGGCAAUUUGUCAAAGUCCUAUUUUCCUCUCACUGAUAAGAUAGGACUCAUGGAGUACAAUAAUGUCUUCCUGAGAUACAAUUGUGACUCUUCUACUCAGCGCACGCGGAGGGGAGGCUAAUUUUGGCCUCACUAGGCUAGCAGGGGUGAGGGAGACCAAGCAGCUCUCCAUGGAGACCAGGACAGGGUCAUGAUGCUACUGUGCCACUGCAAGUGAUGAGUGUAGGCCUUUGGCAAGCUCUGCCCCAGCAGCUUGGGGAACACUUUCCCCCCUGCCCUGUUCUAUUGCCCCAGCUGCCAAGGCACGGUUGCCUUGUCCUCACCGAGUGCAGCACCAGUCUGUGCCUUUUGGGAGACACCAACAUCCCCAGCCUCCCUGCUGGUGCUCCAGCACUGCAGCUGCACAAGAAGCCAAUGCAAGUAGCUCUGUGGUCAUGCAGAAGGUGAGGUGCUGCUUGGGGAUGCAGUGCUGCCCACUCCAUGUAUGUGCCCAGCACCUGCAGCUGUCUCUCACCUCAGUGCCGUCACAGCUGCAAGCAGUGCCAAGGAAAAAGCAGUAAAAGGCACAGUUGGCAAAAUCUCACCCUCCUGGGAUCUGGGCCUUUUAAGUAAGAAUGGAGAGAGUGCUGCAAGGAAUUGGAAUGGGAUAUUUGGUAGGGGCUGGAUCCUGCUUCCCUCACAGGGCAACGUGCAGCACUGCCUCCCAGCAGCACAGCCCUCUGGCAGAGCUGACGUUUCCAUUUUGGCAAACUGCUUGGGAUGCACUUUCUACACAGCUUGAAAUCUGAGCAUAAUGCUAUCUUCAUGAACCAUAUUCACCAGCCUGAUAAUGUGACCCAACAGAAGGUCAGUGGAAAAGUUAAUAUAACUUAUUGGCUGAUUUAAAAAAAUCUAAUCAUCUGUUUUUCCUUUUUCCUGACCCCUCCCCCCGCACCCAGCGCCCUGCUGACAUUUUCCACCUAUUCCCAAAACAAUGGUGAGGGUGGGAAUGCUGUGAGCAAGCAGAGCUGAGAAGAAGGUUUUUCCUGUGCGGCUGCUGCUGCAUCUUGCUGCUCUGGGAUGGUGCAGGAGGUGCUUGAGCCAAGGACACUGGCAUGACUAAAGGCUGACACCACCAUGGUUGCAAGGACAAAUUCUCUGGAAACAAGGCCCUUUGGGUGAGCUCUCCACCAGCCUUCUACAUCAGCAUUCCUUCCCCUCGGCAGGAAGAAAACCUGGAUCAGUGUGUAGGUGGGCGCACACCUUUGCACACGUAUGUGGUGGUGAGAAGCAUUCUCACGCAAGCUCUGCUCUUUCACAUUCCUACCUAGCCACUGUGAGCAUGCUUCCACUUGCUUGCCCAAAUGCAUGGGGUUGAAAGCCACAGGGAGCAGCUGCUUCACUGCUGUUCUCCAGCCACUUGUCUUCUCCUGCCCUGAGGCCUGUGCUGUCUGGACAGCCCUUGCAAUGUCUGGAGCAAUUAAGCAGCCAGAUGGUUGUCAGGGUAUGACCUAUCCUGAGGAUGCAGGUGAGUUUGCCUCAUCAGGGUGGGGCUGCAGAGAGUCAUUUCUUACGCUAAUACUUUACAGAUGCAAGAGGAAGGACCUCAGGGAGCAAAGGAUGACAGAAGGGAUCUGGGGGUUACUUAUUCAGCAAGAACUGUUGCUUGGAAGUGGACCUUUGGGGUUGCUGCUGAACCCUGGGAGGAAGAGCACCGGGGAGGCUGUCUUCUGGCAUAGGCUUAGGCAAGGAGAGAGUUUGGUAGGUUUCUGUUGGGCUGUAGUGAAUCCCUCUCACCUGAGUGCAUGGGAACGAAAGGGGUUGCCUGCCAGCCUGACUAGGAGGUGCUCCCCCAUCUUCUCAUAGAUAGGCAAAGCUAAGGCACGGGAGCAGAGCUGAAGCCAGAAGGUGGGCCUGAGCUCCCAGCUAACAGCUUGCCCUGGUGUUCUCCAAGCUUCUCUUCUUGUUGUGCUGUAACAGGGCUUAACUUAAGGUUGGAUGGAGAAUUUAGUCUGGGUAAAGCUGCAACAAAUCUUAGCUGGUGAGAUGAGCUUGUGUGCUUUUGUGGCUUCAGCUUAAUUACUGCCAAUGCAGGAACACUGCCUUCUUGCCAGAGGCUUGUUUUCAUCCCUUCUCAGACAUCACACAUUUACUGUUGGCAGAUCUGUGGAAACAUUGUGAGUAUCCCACAGGCAAGAAUUCCUCAUCCUGCAGCUGAGGGGCUGUGGCAUGGUGCCUUAAAUCCUCCUUCUGUCUUCAGAAGCAUGUCAGACACUUCUGGGUAUUGUGGGGACAAAGUCAAGCCGGUGUGGCUUGAGAGAGUUAUUUGUGCUGGAGAUGGGGCUGCGUCUUGCACUUCAGAGCACUGUGGCUGUGCCUUCUCCCUGUGUGAAGUCCACAUGCGUUAUGCAGUGCCUGGUGCUGGCUGUGCUGCAGCCCUGCUCACCGUGGCCAUUUUCCGUGAUAUUGCGGCUGGCCUUUGGAGCUGGGUGGGCCUUUGCAGCGAGGGUGUGUGCAAAGAAGGGCUGUGAGGCUGUCGGGUCCCACCCAGAAGAGGGUUCAGGCGGGAGUAGUAGGAGAUGAUGAAAACAUGCUGUAGGAAUGCUAUCAUAAGAACAGUGGGUUGCGCGGCCGGUGAGGGUGCUGUUCUGGAUCAUAGCUACAUGGUGUUAAAGGCCAGGCUGAAUGGGCCCUGGGCAGCCUGAGCUGGUGGGGGACAGCCGGCCCGCGGCAGCUGUUAGGACUGGAUGGGCUUUAAGGUCCCUUCCAACCCAAGCCAUGCAAUGAUUCUAUGCACUUGUCCAAGUCUCGUGGUCCCCUCUGGGCCAGAUCCUAUCAGAAGCAGACAGGUGUGUGCAGGCCCUCAGCUGGAUGCGGGGCAGCUGCAGUAGCUUCUGCACAACCCACGUAGAAGUAGGUGAACGCAAGUGCUGCAUGUGCUGCCUGAUCUUUCCUUAAAAAGGUCAUCAAAGCCAGGGUGCUGUUUUUAUUUUUCAGUUCAGCAGUGCAACUUUGCUAUGAUAAAUAUGUCUUGGAAACCAGGAAUGCGGACAACACUAGUUCAAAGACUUUUUUCCCAGUGUUGCAUAUUUAAAGCUGCUCAUCACAGAAGAGCCUUUGCUAGACUGAGCGUAACAAGGAUUGCAUUCUUGUUCCAUGCUGAAGAUAUGAAAGCAAGGCACUGAUCUUAGCAGAUCUUGAAGAAUGUGCCAGUGGUAUUUCAGUAAUCUAAUGCUCUGCAGCCUGUGAAGGCAGCACAGUAACUGAAAGGAAAUAUCUUUGUUUUUAUUCACUUGGCUUUAUUCCUAAUUCGUUCUUUGAUGCCAUCAGCUUGGGAUAAUACAUUUUCAGAUAUGCUUGAAAUUAAGGAAAUGAGUCUGAUUAUCAAAGUCCUUUAAACAUACUUUCAGGGAGAAAUGUUCAACAAUAGAGGUAUUAAAGGCCCCAUUUUCAAGCAAUUCUAAUAUAAAAUAAAAACAUUGUGCUGCUAGAUGGUGAGGUCCAUUAGCAGCGUGUGUGUGCAUCCUCCAACUUGAGAGGAUAUCUGCUUUUCCAGUUAUGAAAGCUGCUCGAUAAUUUGAAUCUUUCCUCUGUGGUGGCUGGGCAGAGGCAGACUUGUUUAACUGUUUCUUCACUUGCAGCCAAAUAAUAAAUGCAAGAAAACUUACUUCUUUAGGCAAAAGUGAUGUUUCUCAAUUCUUGUGUUUGAGAUUUGCCUGCAUUUCAUUUAUUUGUUUAUUAUGGUGUGUUGUUUAUUAUUAUUUAUUUGUUUAUUAUGGUAUGUCUGUGCUGGCUUGGGUUUUACUGGAAUACUUCUUAGAAAAGUCAGUUGCUCUACCAGUAUGUACCUGAGCAGUAGGCUGGAAGCAGGCACAGCCUCCUUGCUGCUUUGCUUGGCAGUCGUGGGGCUAGCUACAGGAAUGGGAAAGCAUGAUAUUUAUUCUAUCUACUGUAAAUGUGACUGUUUAAGAUCUUGCUCCAAUAAAUGGAGCAAUGAAUUCUCUUUCUACUGAGACUGCUGGUAAAGAGGUGACUUACUAGAUAUGCUGCUGUUGUAAUGAAAAUAUCUGGCAAAAUAAUUUAAAAUCAAGAAGAACUGAAUGUCUGGAAGAAGGAGAAAAGGGAUAGGGUGACACAAGUAAAGAAAGGCUUCAGCUGUGACAGUCUUGGGUACUGUGUACAAUCUGCUCUGUAAGCUGUUUCACAAGAUGCUCUGGCAGAGAAGUGAUAAUAAAUUGUUUAACGACUUGGACUUGCUAGUGUAGUUUAAGAAACUUUAAAAGGAGACAUUUAAAGGCUUGUGGCUGUGUAUGACUCAUCUAAAAGACUAAAACUGCAAUUGCAGAUUGCUCACCACCAUCUCACAGGGCACUCUGUACAUCUGGCUGUGCCCUCAGAAGCUUGGACACUUGGUUCAGGAGCCCCUGUUCCAUCCAGGUGCCAGGUAUGUGUGGGAGCACCCAGUGCAUGGCACCAGUGCCAGUGCUUGUGCCAGCCCUGCUGAUCCACUGCUGGCAGUGAGCCCCAGCCUGGAAGUAGCUGAGGUUAGGAAAAACAAAGGUAAAAAAAGUAGGAACAGACUCUCCUUGCCGAGAAAGUCAAACAAAUGGGGCUGGAUGUGUCCCCCAGGAGUCUCUGUGGUCAUCCAUGGGGAGGACUGGGUGGCACAGUGCUGGCAAAGGUGUGUUUCCAGCUUUGAGGGCCAGAUGUGGCCAGCUGUGUGCCUGUGCAUUACAGAGGUGGGUCUCUGAACCUACUCUGAGAUAAGGCUCCUAUUUAUACAGUCCUACCAGAAAAAGCAGGGUGGAACACACUAACAUAUUAAGGAGACCAAAUAAAUAAACAGUGGGUUUUGAUUUAUUUUCUCUGCUACUUGGAUAUCUUAGUUUUGGCACAAGAUGGAUUUUGUACACAAAUGUGAUCUCCUGUUAGGCUUUUGUGUUUGCUGAUUUAGAAAUCAUGUACAAAGGAGGAAAGCCUUACAAAUGUUCUAAAAGCAAAAAGAUUUUUGUUCUCUGUACUGCAGAAGUAUGUACAACCCUUGGUCCUGGCAGCUAGGUACUACGCAGCAGGUAACAGACCUCAGGAAUCUAUAGCUGAAGAUGAGAGAUAACAGUGGAAAGACAUAUAAAGUACAGUAGUCAGUUUGAGAAAUGGCACUCACUAAAUGCUACGUAGCUGAUUGGCAUCAUUCACAUCUGUGCCUCCCAAGGGGAAAGUGUAGGGUCACAAAGGAGUGCAAACCUGCUGUACUGGGAAAAGGCUGUGGAAGGGAGCACUCAGUGUCACAUGCAGAAACUGUUCUACUCAAAGGAAGUCAUAAAGGUGUCGGUAACACCCAGCUUUAUUGGGACCUGUACUCAGUUCAGAUCCACCAGAGUACAUUCAGAUGGAAUAUAUAUGGCUAUGAAAUCAAAGUAUUCCUGGGAAGCCCGUUAAGAAAGGCUGCUGGACUUGAUUUGAGCAUACAGUUAGAGCUACUUUGUCCUCCAGCCCCAAGCUGCUGGUGUGUUCCCACGAUUUUUAAUCACGCUGGCUGUAAAUGGCUGUAACAUCUCCAAAAGCAGUGACAGAGCUGGAGUGUGUGCCCUGGCUCGUUUCCUUGUUAACAAAUCUCACAAAGGAGAAUCAAAUGGAGGAAAAACUGCUAUUUCUAUUUAUUUAUUAUUUCUAACCAGGUUGAAGACCUGAUGCUUUAAAAGAACUGAACAGAGGGAUUUGUGAUAAGACAUGAUUCAUUACAUCUUGUGACCUGUCCCUUUCCUAGAAAAGGCAUAGCUAGCAAUGCUGUCGGAGUGCCAGGGCUGCCAGUCAUCUCCUGUGCUACAAACCAGAGCCGUGCCAAGAGAACUGGAAAGCAGCUGGAACAGCUUAAGGAGAUGGGUGGAGGGAACAUGCCAACCACAAAAUUAAUUUUUUGAAUUAAUAAAAGCUUGCGUGGUUUGAGGCUUGUGAAGCAAUAAACAUGUUCAAAUUUGCUGGAGACUGAAAAAGAAAAGCAAUUAGGUGCAAGGGAAAACUUUGAGGGUAGAUAAGGAUAAUAUGCUGGAAUAUGCAAUGGGUUGAAAAAUAUUGUGAGAAGUUAAUCUUUAAUGGAAAAUGACUAAAAUAAUUUUGGUGAAUGUACAUGUGUGUAUCAAAGCAAACCUUGUUUCUCUUAUUUACCAGGGAAUGACAGAAUAAGAGUUUCUGAUUAACAGCAGUAACUUCAUAAUAUUCAUGAUAAACUCUUCCACCAGGCAGAACUUAGUCCAAAAGGUAUCUUUGACUUUUCCUCACCACGGUUGUGUGUGGGUACAUUUGGAUGUCUGUUGCUCCCAUUUACACGAGUUGCCUCCGCUUUUCUUUCAAAAGCCAGGCAGAACAAUGCCUAUUUCAGCCCUCCUGCUUUCAUGUGCCUGUGCUGGACACUGCCACGUAGCUGUCUCUUUCCCUGUGCUCUCCACUGCAUCUUCCAUGUAAUGCACAGACUGCACAGUCUGUGAAGGAAGUGCAGUUUUUGGACUGUUUUGUCAACCAACUCAAGAAGUGAUCUGAGUGUGCUGAGAUGCAGUGACAGCUGUGCAAUAGUUUUAAGAAUGAAUGAAAAACACUGGUUUAUAACCAUCUUUAAAACUAGAGCUGGAAAGCCUGCACACGGAACUAGGGGAAUAAUGUUGAGUCUUUAUCCUGGAACAUACCUGCUGUGUCCCAGGAGUUAUUAGCCUGCAUGGUGAAUCACUUCAACUCAUUGGGCCAAGAGAAAACUUCCUUUUCUACAUUAUGUUGGCACGGCUUCCUGUUGGCUCACCUUGCUGGCUGACUCAUCGUGGAGAUGUGUGAUUACUGGAACUGGUGCCUAGGAAGAACUGUGAGUGCGCAGCUGGGGCAAUGGCCAUGGUGCGCUCAGCCUGUUACCCUUCCUGCACCUGCUGCAGUUCCAAGUGAUAGGACUUAACCCUGACCAAUUCCCUUAAUCUGGAAGGAAGGAGCAUU